rnacentral:rRNA from 1 species
GACGAACGCUGGCGGCGUGCUUAACACAUGCAAGUCGAACGGAAAGGCCUGCUUUCCCUUGUGGAUUGCGGGUACUCGAGUGGCGAACGGGUGAGUAACACGUGAGUGAUCUGCCCCCAACUUGGGUAUAAGCCUGGGAAACUGGGUCUAAUUCCCGAUAGGACUGCAGGGUGGUGCCUGUGGUGGAAAACGAUUUUCUAGUGGUUGGGGAUGAGCUCGCGGCCUAUCAGCUUGUUGGUGGGGUAAUGGCCUACCAAGGCGGCGACGGGUAGCCGGCCUGAGAGGGUGGACGGCCACAUUGGGACUGGGAUCCGGCCCAGACUCCUACGGGAGGCAGCAGUGGGGAAUAUUGCACAAUGGGCGGAAGCCUGAUGCAGCGACGCCGCGUGGGGGAUGACGGCCUUCGGGUGGUAAACUCCUUUCGACCGCGAGGAAGCCACCUGGUUGGAAGGGUGGUGACGGUAGUGGUAGAAGAAGCACCGGCUAACUACGUG